rnacentral:rRNA from 1 species
GGUUAAGCGACUAAGCGUACACGGUGGAUGCCCUGGCAGUCAGAGGCGAUGAAGGACGUGCUAAUCUGCGAUAAGCGCCGGUAAGGUGAUAUGAACCGUUAUAACCGGCGAUUUCCGAAUGGGGAAACCCAGUGUGAUUCGUCACACUAUCAUUAACUGAAUCCAUAGGUUAAUGAGGCGAACCGGGGGAACUGAAACAUCUAAGUACCCCGAGGAAAAGAAAUCAACCGAGAUUCCCCCAGUAGCGGCGAGCGAACGGGGAGGAGCCCAGAGCCUGAAUCAGCAUGUGUGUUAGUGGAAGCGUCUGGAAAGGUGCGCGAUACAGGGUGACAGCCCCGUACACAAAAGCGCAUGUGCUGUGAGCUCGAUGAGUAGGGCGGGACACGUGGUAUCCUGUCUGAAUAUGGGGGGACCAUCCUCCAAGGCUAAAUACUCCUGACUGACCGAUAGUGAACCAGUACCGUGAGGGAAAGGCGAAAAGAACCCCGGCGAGGGGAGUGAAAAAGAACCUGAAACCGUGUACGUACAAGCAGUGGGAGCACAGGUUUACCUGUGUGACUGCGUACCUUUUGUAUAAUGGGUCAGCGACUUAUAUUCUGUAGCAAGGUUAACCGAAUAGGGGAGCCGGAGGGAAACCGAGUCUUAAUUGGGCGUUAAGUUGCAGGGUAUAGACCCGAAACCCGGUGAUCUAGCCAUGGGCAGGUUGAAGGUUGGGUAACACUAACUGGAGGACCGAACCGACUAAUGUUGAAAAAUUAGCGGAUGACCUGUGGCU